GCAAGUCGAACGGUAACAGGUCUUCGGACGCUGACGAGUGGCGAACGGGUGAGUAAUACAUCGGAACGUGCCCAGUCGUGGGGGAUAACUACUCGAAAGAGUAGCUAAUACCGCAUACGAUCUGAGGAUGAAAGCGGGGGACCUUCGGGCCUCGCGCGAUUGGAGCGGCCGAUGGCAGAUUAGGUAGUUGGUGGGAUAAAAGCUUACCAAGCCGACGAUCUGUAGCUGGUCUGAGAGGACGACCAGCCACACUGGGACUGAGACACGGCCCAGACUCCUACGGGAGGCAGCAGUGGGGAAUUUUGGACAAUGGGCGAAAGCCUGAUCCAGCAAUGCCGCGUGCAGGAUGAAGGCCUUCGGGUUGUAAACUGCUUUUGUACGGAACGAAAAAGCUUCUCCUAAUACGAGAGGCCCAUGACGGUACCGUAAGAAUAAGCACCGGCUAACUACGUGCCAGCAGCCGCGGUAAUACGUAGGGUGCGAGCGUUAAUCGGAAUUACUGGGCGUAAAGCGUGCGCAGGCGGUUAUGUAAGACAGAUGUGAAAUCCCCGGGCUCAACCUGGGAACUGCAUUUGUGACUGCAUGGCUAGA
rnacentral:rRNA from 1 species